rnacentral:rRNA from 1 species
CGAGCACGAUUUCCUUCGGGAUUAUGUGCUGAGUGGCGGACGGGUGAGUAACGCGUGGGUACCUGCCUUGUACAGGGGGAUAACAGUUGGAAACGGCUGCUAAUACCGCAUAAGAUCGCAUGAUAAAAACUCCGGUGGUAUAAGAUGGACCCGCGUUGGAUUAGCUAGUUGGUGAGGUAACGGCCCACCAAGGCGACGAUCCAUAGCCGACCUGAGAGGGUGACCGGCCACAUUGGGACUGAGACACGGCCCAAACUCCUACGGGAGGCAGCAGUGGGGAAUAUUGCACAAUGGGCGAAAGCCUGAUGCAGCGACGCCGCGUGAGCGAAGAAGUAUUUCGGUAUGUAAAGCUCUAUCAGCAGGGAAGAUAAUGACGGUACCUGACUAAGAAGCACCGGCUAAAUACGUGCCAGCAGCCGCGGUAAUACGUAUGGUGCAAGCGUUAUCCGGAUUUACUGGGUGUAAAGGGAGCGCAGGCGGUGCGGCAAGUCUGAUGUGAAAGCCCGGGGCUCAACCCCGGUACUGCAUUGGAAACUGUCGUACUAGAGUGUCGGAGGGGUAAGCGGAAUUCCUAGUGUAGCGGUGAA